rnacentral:rRNA from 1 species
GACGAACGCUGGCGGCGUGCCUAAUACAUGCAAGUAGAACGCUGAAGGAGGAGCUUGCUUCUCUGGAUGAGUUGCGAACGGGUGAGUAACGCGUAGGUAACCUGCCUGGUAGCGGGGGAUAACUAUUGGAAACGAUAGCUAAUACCGCAUAAGAGUAGAUGUCGCAUGACAUUUGCUUAAAAGGUGCAAUUGCAUCACUACCAGAUGGACCUGCGUUGUAUUAGCUAGUUGGUGAGGUAACGGCACACCAAGGCAACGAUACAUAGCCGACCUGAGAGGGGGGUCGGCCAAACUGGGACUGAGGCACGGCCCAGGCUCCUACGGGAGGCAGCAGUAGGGAAUCUUCGGCCAUGGACGGAAGUCUGACCGAGCAACGCCGCGGGAGUGAAGAAGGGUGUCGGAUCGUAAAGCUCUGUUGUAAGAGAAGAACGAGUGUGAGAGUGGAAAGUUCACACUGUGACGGUACCUUAACAGAAAGGGACGGCUAACUACGUG